UACGUAGGGUGCAAGCGUUGUCCGGAAUUAUUGGGCGUAAAGAGCUCGUAGGCGGUCUGUCGCGUCGGCUGUGAAAACUCGGGGCUCAACUCCGAGCUUGCAGUCGAUACGGGCAGGCUAGAGUUCGGUAGGGGAGACUGGAAUUCCUGGUGUAGCGGUGAAAUGCGCAAAUAUCAGGAGGAACACCGGUGGCGAAGGCGGGUCUCUGGGCCGAUACUGACGCUGAGGAGCGAAAGCGUGGGGAGCGAACAGG
rnacentral:rRNA from 1 species